rnacentral:rRNA from 1 species
CCCUUAGAUGUUCUGGGCCGCACGCGCGCUACACUGAUGCAUUCAACGAGUCUAAAACCUGGUCUGAUAGGGCUGGGUAAUCUUUUGAAUGUGCAUCGUGAUUGGGAUAGAUGAUUGCAAUUUUUCAUCUUCAACGAGGAAUGCCUAGUAAACGCAAGUCAUCAGCUUGCAUUGAUUACGUCCCUGCCCUUUGUACACACCGCCCGUCGCUCCUACCGAUUGAAUGAUCCGAUGAAUAUCAUGGAUUGAGGAUGUAAGCAGGUUCGCCUGUCUUCAUCUUCGAGAAGUGAAGUAAAUCUUAUCAUUUAGAGGAAGGAGAAGUCGUAACA